UACGUAGGGUGCAAGCGUUGUCCGGAAUUAUUGGGCGUAAAGAGCUCGUAGGCGGUUUGUCGCGUCUGCUGUGAAAUCCCGAGGCUCAACCUCGGGCUUGCAGUGGGUACGGGCAGACUAGAGUGCGGUAGGGGAGAUUGGAAUUCCUGGUGUAGCGGUGGAAUGCGCAGAUAUCAGGAGGAACACCGAUGGCGAAGGCAGAUCUCUGGGCCGUAACUGACGCUGAGGCGCAAAAGCGUGGGGAGCGAACAGG
rnacentral:rRNA from 1 species